AUCGGGAAAUUCAGAGUCUUCUUGGAGAAUCAGUUUUCUGACAUCACACAACAAUGUCUAAUGUCAAUGUCUGGAACGCUUUGAAGACAGAAAUGGGAGUUUUCAAUGGGGAAACCCAGAGUUCUGAGGUGUCAUGAACGCAGCAUUGGCGCACACCAGAACUCAGGAGUUAUCGCGGUGUAACCUGGGUGUAACUGCCUUGUAGGAGGAGCAGGAUUUUCUGGCAGGACGGACAGUAAUUUUAACAGGAUAGCCAUUUACCAAGCUGCACGUUUCAUUUUAGGAGCACACGGCAUGCGUGGGUUAAAGUUAGCAAACAAGUUGAGUGAGCUGACAGAAGGCAAAAAAAAAAACACAAACACCUCAAACUAAUUGAAUGGCUCCAAAAGAAAAAAAUACUGAGAUGGAAAGUCAAGUGCAACCGGUGUCAUCACAAAAUGAAGCUGAAGAAAAAGAUUGUGGAUCUGUGGACCGAUUUGAAUGCUUGAUUUCAUGAUGGACAACAUUGCUGCAUCCUCAAGAACCCUUUCAAGAAUGGCAAAGCAACGGGAGGUCUGCGUGACAGCGAUGGAGAGGCUGCAUCAUAGAGAAGGACAGAGAAUUGGGGGAAGGAGCAUUUCGUGGUGAUAGAUGAGUCACUUCAGACAUAAAAGAAAGUAUGGAAGGGGCAGGAUGGCUGGGGGCUGGAAGCGGAGGAAGUGGGUGUUCGGGAUGCUGGGGGUGCAAAGCACGCGGAGGCGGCCAGGGC